rnacentral:rRNA from 1 species
UACGUAGGGGGCAAGCGUUGUCCGGAAUUAUUGGGCGUAAAGAGCGUGUAGGCGGUCCGGUAAGUCAGCUGUGAAAGUCAAGGGCUCAACCCUUGAAUGCCGGUUGAUACUGUCGGGCUAGAGUCCGGAAGAGGCGAGUGGAAUUCCCGGUGUAGCGGUGAAAUGCGCAGAUAUCGGGAGGAACACCAAUGGCGAAGGCGGUUCUCUGGGCCUUACCUGACGCUGAGGAGCGAAAGCGUGGGGAGCGAACAGG